rnacentral:rRNA from 1 species
ACUGAACGCUGGCGGCAUGCCUUACACAUGCAAGUCGAACGGUAACAGGUCUUCGGAUGCUGACGAGUGGCGAACGGGUGAGUAAUACAUCAGAACGUGCCUAGUAGUGGGGGAUAACUACUCGAAAGAGUGGCUAAUACCGCAUGAGAUCUACGGAUGAAAGCAGGGGAUCGCAAGACCUUGUGCUACUAGAGCGGCCGAUGGCAGUUUAGGUAGUUGGUGGGAUAAAAGCUUACCAAGCCGACGAUCUGUAGCUGGUCUGAGAGGACGAUCAGCCACACUGGGACUGAGACACGGCCCAGACUCCUACGGGAGGCAGCAGUGGGGAAUUUUGGACAAUGGGCGCAAGCCUGAUCCAGCAAUGCCGCGUGCAGGAUGAAGGCCUUCGGGUUGUAAACUGCUUUUGUACGGAACGAAAAGCCCUGGGUUAAUACCCUGGGGUCAUGACGGUACCGUAAGAAUAAGCACCGGCUAACUACGUGCCAGCCGCCGCCGUAAAAC